rnacentral:lncRNA from 1 species
UUUCAUAUUUCUUUUCUCCUAAACCAAAUAAAAAACCUUUGGGAGACUUGGAGGCAAUUUCUUGGUGGAGAGGAAGGCUAGGCCCUUGAGGGCCGGUCUCAGGGCCAUGGAGGAGGUGACAACUUCUCCGGAUGUCCAUGACUCCGUUCUAUUUUGGGUUUUGCUUUUCUCUUUACCUAUUUUAUUGUUUUGACUCUCUUUUGGUAUUUGGAAUGACUUAUUUGAUUUUAUUUCUUGUUCAAUAUACUUUUAUGCAAUUAUAAUUAUGAAUUUUCAUUAUUUGGUGUUUCUCUCUAUGUUUAAUGCUUCAAUUGGUUAAUUGGUAAUUUAAAGAGUUUAUAUUAAUUCAUAAAUAGAUUGAGAAAUUGAUAUGGGUUAAUGUAGCUUAGUUCAUAGAAAGGGGAAAAAUUCCUAUGUCUUAGGUUAUUGAUUCUCUUUGCGCGUUCAUAUAUCUUUUGACAAUAUGAUGAUUUUUAGGAUUUGCAUGACAAUUGAGAAGUUGGUGUGAAUUUAGUUAAUGAGAGAAACCACCCUUGCAUCAGUCAUCUUAAGAAAGACAUGUCUUAGGUAGGGUUAAGGUUUUCUAUGUGACAAUAGGAAACAUUAACUUUUAGGUAUGAAUAUCAUGAGUUGGGAAAGAGAUCUAUACCGAGUGACAAGUCGGGAUACUCACCUCUCUAGGAUAGGAUUAUCUAGUAGGAACUAUUAGGAUUUCUUGAGUGACAGUCAAAGAUUCUAUCCACUAGGACAUGAACUUCUUGGGUUAGGAACAGAGCUUGGGAAUGUCUUAUCGAGUAGGUAUGUGUAUAAUGCUCCUUUUAUGAUCACUAGGGCUUAAGAGAUUAAGGCUAGGUUCUUAAUGGGUAGAUUCGCUUAGCUAAGAAAUUAGUGGGUGAAUAGCUCUUAUCGGCAUCUUAAAUGUUAAUUUCAUCUUAUAAAAGUAUAUUGGUUGAGAAUAAGUUGUAAAUCAAGUGAACUCAUUUUCCAAAUACGUUUUCUUCUUUGUUUACCUCCGUGAACUUCUUUUAUCGCUUUAAUUAUAGUUUUUCCUUUGUUUAAAUAAACCCACAUUAUACUAUUUAAGCCAUUCAUCCAACAUCUAGCUAGUAAGAUUAAUACGUAGCAACACAAUCCUUAUGGAGACGACAAAACCCGAUACUAUACUACGAUUGAGUCUUGAAAGGGAUUUGAUAGUAGUUAGUCGAGGAGAACCUCUUCAUUAAAUAUCCUUUCAUCAAAAUGGCGCCGUUGCCGGGGAUUGUGCUUCCGCUUCUAUUAGUUAACCUAGCCGGGUGUUGUUUAGAGCAUUAUUAUAGUAUGCAUUUUUUUUUUGUUAUGCUCUUAUAUGUUAAUUCAAUUGAUUUGUUCUUGUGCUAAAUGCUUGUUGUAGCCUGAUCAACUAUAACAUGAUAUACGGUUUGGAAUUCUGUGAACCUGACUUAGAAUGAAUCAACUAGUAGAUAUAAUGAGAAUUAAGUUCAUUAGUCAUGAAUUGAUGAUUUGAUGCAUAUGAUUUUGAGUCAUAGUGUCUCAUUAAAUUAUUUGAGUUAUGUUGUGGUGUUUUAAUUUGUGUGCUCUAUUUUGCAAGGACUAAGUGAUUUUACAGGAAUUAAUCUGAGUUAGAGGGCCCAACUGACCAUGUCCUGGUGCUUUCAAGUUUGCACCCAAUCUGAGUACAGGGAGUUUUACUGAACCACUCAUCUCUCAUUUAAUUUCAUGAUCAUGCAUUUAGCAUUUAGUUGAUUAGAUUGCACACACUAGUAUGCACAUGCCUUGAAUUCUUGGUAUUCACACUUUUAUGCUUGAAUAAUGCUUGUUGUUGUUUUAAAUAUUUGUUCUGGGUUUGAUGCUAGUUGUUAUAAUAAAAAAAUGUUUGAUGCAUGGGUGUGAGUGAAACUUUUGGAACAUGUGGAGAGUUAGGUGAUAGAGACUUGAGUGAGUUUUGGAAAAGUGCAGUAAGGUUAUUAAGAUUCCAGGUUAGUGGGGAUAAUGCAUAAAAUAUGUAGUUUUCCUUUUAAUCUUUAUAUUGAGUCAACACUCUUUUUGGCUGUGUGGUUAAAAAGGGGGCACACAUGUGAGAGUAAAGCUCAAGUGCUAAAAAUGAAAAAAUAGGGAACGAAUGUGAAUAAGGGAAUGGGAAGUAUUUGCACCACUGAGCAUACCCCCAAUCAUAUUCUGACCUUGUUAAAUAAAAAAAAAAGAAUUUCGCCCUGAGUUGGUAAUAACUGUGAAGGGUUGGGAAAAAGCUAAAUUGAAAAGGAAAGAACAUGUGUGUGCUCCUAAUAAAAUAAGACUGUUGGCCAUCAUUAGUGGAUUCUCAAUAUGGGGUUGGGGAAUUAGGAAUAAAAUGUGAAACCCCACAUCUUGGUAUUUUCUAUAAUUCUUACUUGCCCUUACUAAAGGUUACUCAGUUUUUAAAGCUUGAUUCUCUACAUGAACUAUUUUGAGGAACUCAUCUCAUGUAUCUUUUGUGAAAAUGUGUAUACUAGCAUCUUACUUUGAACUAUUUUAUUGAGCUUGAGGACAAGCAACCUUAAGUUUUCGCUUGAGGACAAGCUGCCGUUGAGUAUAGGGGUAUGAUGACCCGGGAUUUAAGGCUAUUUUCCUAGUUUAUUUGCAUGUAUUUUACUAUAUUAUUUAAGAUAUUUUAAUCAUUUUAGGGCACUUUAGUCUUAUUUCAUGCAUUUUAUUAUUUUUAUUAAGUUUUAGUAUUUUUCUACAUUUUAUAUUAUUUUUCUAGAUUUUAUUAGGAUUUGAAUUAGUUUUAUCUUCUAUUUAAUUAUUAUUAGGAUUUUACUUUAAUUUAGGAUUAGAUAAGUUUAUUUUAAGUUACUAUCUUAUUUUUAUCUUCUAUUUAUUUUAUUUUAUUGUUAUUUUAGGAGAAGAUAUGAGAAGAGAGAGAAAAUCAGGAAAAAAAAGGAAAAAGAAAAAGAAAUUCGCAGCUUUUAAUGGGCUCUGUUCCAGUGUGUCGCGCGUCCAAGAUCUUACCGUGUACAAGUGCAUCAGAUCGUGCCACGUAGCAGACCCUGUUAUCCAACGUCCAACCUUCUGAGGGUGCACCGUGUUAAGGUGCACCUGAACGCACAGGAUUAUCUGCUCAUCAGAAAAAGACAAAAACGAACAGGCUACGAAAAAUCAUUAUAAAAUCAGUUUUAAACCUAUUUUUUGUGAUCUUUUCAUCUUUCUUUCUCCUAAACCAAAUAAAAAACCUUUGGGAGACUUGGAGGCAAUUUCUUGGUGGAGAGGAAGGCUAGGCCCUUGAGGGCCGGUGUCAGGGCCAUGGAGGAAGUGACAGCUUCUCCGGAUGUCCAUGACUCCGUUCUAUUUUGGGUUUUGCUUUUCUCUUUACCUAUUUUAUUGUUUUGACUCUCUUUUGGUAUUUGGAAUGACUUAUUUGAUUUUCUUUCUUGUUC